rnacentral:misc_RNA from 1 species
GAUGAAGAACGUAGCGAAAUGCGAUAAGUAAUGUGAAUUGCAGAAUUCAGUGAAUCAUCGAAUCUUUGAACGCACCUUGCGCCCUUUGGCCAUUCCGAAGGGCAUGCCUGUUUGAGUAUCAUGAACACCUCAACUCUUUAUGGUUUUCCAUGAUGAGCUUGGACUCUGGGGGUUUUGCUGGCUCACAGUCGGCUCCUCUAAAAUGAAUCAGCUUACCAGUGUUUGGUGGGUAUCAUGGGUGUGAUAACUAUCUACGCUUGUGGUUUUUCCACCAGGUAACCUUCAGCAGUGGAGGUUCGCUGGAGCUCAUAGAUGUCUCUCCUCAGUGAGGACAGCCCUUUGAAUGUUUGAUCUCAAAUCAGGUAGAACUACCCGCUGAACUUAAGCAUAUCAAUAAGCGGAGGA